ensembl:lncRNA
GACUGGACAGUGUGUUAUUAGGCUGGACGAGACACGGACGACUGGAACAGGUCAGAGCUCUCAGCUCAUGGAGGCGUUCAGAGGGUUUGAAUGAGACCAAGCUCGAGUUGAAACAGCCGUUCUCCUCCACUCUCAGCCAACUGUCCUUUCAUACAUUGUCCCUCAGCUCAAAGAGGGGUCAAAACAGCAGCCACCAGACCAAUUUGUCAUGGGACAGUGUAGUCCCUGUCAACGUCUCCCUCACUCUCAACAAACAGCAGGAGAACAACUCCAGCAGGGGGCAGGCAUGUGCUGUAUUCUCCACACCUCAGGUUGGUGGAUCCUCUGCAUAUACAUGUAUCUGUCAGUGCACAUUAUGGCUUUAUUUAUUAACCCCUACACCUGUGUGUGUGUGUGCGUGCGUGUGUGUGUGUGUGUGUGUGUGUAGAUGAGUGUGUCUUUCGUUAAAGGUUGUGUGUCAGUAGGUCAGGAGGGCAAAUCCUAUUCACAAAAUGCAGAGCUAAAGUGGAACAACAGGAGUGUCAAGCAAGGCUUGACGUAUGAGAAGUGUCCAAGAGGAGUACAUAACCUUCAGGUUAACAUUGGGUUGGACAAAGUUUCUCCUGCACCCUGUCCUUCGCACAUGCUGCUGGCCAAAGUCCAGACCAACCUCAGGGAUCAUUUGCAGCACACAGUGCAGCUGGGCUUCUGCCCCCCACAGCCUACUCUGUCAUGGUCAGGAUCACACAGAGUGAACUCAGGACAGGAGCUGUUUUACACACAGUCUCGAUUAUCAGUGACAGGACGGCCCGACCCGUGCAGCCUCACCGUGGUCCUCACUAAUUCCUCCACUGCUCAGGGCACUAACAUGUCUCUCUUCUCUGAGUCUAGGAUUGGCAACUGGAGUGUGGAGGUGGGGGGCACUGCCUUGUCUUGGCCCCGGGGCUCUCGUCUCCACGUGCAGGCCAGACUGGACCACAGAGAGAAGAUCUGGCUGAGCGGGACAGUAGAGGGGCCGUGUCUUCAGACCACAGCUGGAUACAUGAACGGUAAAUUCAGUAAAGCCUCUGCAAUAUUUUCAAAAAUGUCAGUAACUAUUAUUAUGAAGCAUUCGCACUCUUUAUGUGCAGGUUCAGACCUUAAUGAGGACCUCACUUUGGCAGCGUGUGUGGGAACAAAUCACAGCUUUGUGCUGGAUGUGCAGAAAAGAGACAGCAGCAGCAGCAAGUAUGAAACCCUGGGCAGUGUGUCUGUGGGAACAACCAAACAGAAACUGAUGCUGAGAGCAAGUGGCUGUUUGGAGAGUCUGACAGCGGUGGAGACACGGCUUCGCUAUUUAAGUUCUCAGAUACAGAAGAAGCUGCUGGAGAGAAUCAAGACAUUACAGCUUCUCCUCAACGAAUUCAGACGACAGUCCACGGAUGGUGAGUUACUCCAGGAGCUGAUAGCACUGCCUCUUCACAUUGCCCAGUGUGUUGAGGCUCAGCUAUUGCAGAGAGACAGAGGCCUGUUGGCUCUGUGGCUGCAGAGCCCCCUUCGUCGCACCGUGACCGAAAGCUUGCCUCGCUUUCUGAGUGUGCUGCAGCAUGCCUCUCUGCUGGGACAACAGGAACUGAAGAGGCCCCUGGCCACUCUGGCAGGUGUGUAUCAGGAUGUGAAGGGCCAGAGGCUGGAGGCGCUGUGGAGGGAGGCUGUUUCUCUGUGGACUGACGGGCUGGUGGAGGUCUUACCUGCUCUCCUAGGGAACCCUCAGCUGAGGCCACUUGCUCAAACUGGCAUUGCCACACUCAACGUCGCCCUGGAUGUGACAGGACAGCAUACUUACCAGUGGAUGGAGACCAGGUUGGCCAUGGCUCUGUCUGGAGUCAGGAAACGACUGGCCUCUGUCUACAAAUUCUCCCCGAGGUACUAA